UACGAAGGGGGCUAGCGUUGCUCGGAAUCACUGGGCGUAAAGGGCACGUAGGCGGAUUGUUAAGUCAGGGGUGAAAUCCUGGAGCUCAACUCCAGAACUGCCUUUGAUACUGAAGAUCUUGAGUUCGGGAGAGGUGAGUGGAACUGCGAGUGUAGAGGUGAAAUUCGUAGAUAUUCGCAAGAACACCAGUGGCGAAGGCGGCUCACUGGCCCGAUACUGACGCUGAGGCACGAAAGCGUGGGGAGCAAACAGG
rnacentral:rRNA from 1 species